UUACACACCGCCCGUCACAUCACGAAAGNGGGUUGUACUAGAAGUCGUCGCGCCAACCCGUAAGGGGGGCAGGCGCCCACGGUAUGAUCCAUGAUUGGGGUG
rnacentral:rRNA from 1 species